rnacentral:rRNA from 1 species
UACGUAGGCAGCAAGCGUUGUUCGGAAUUACUGGGCGUAAAGAGUGUGUAGGUGGUGCACUAAGUCUGUCGUGAAAUCUCCCGGCUUAACUGGGAGGGUGCGGCGGAAACUGGUGUGCUCGAGUAUGGGAGAGGUAAGCGGAAUUCCUGGUGUAGCGGUGAAAUGCGUAGAUAUCAGGAGGAACACCUGUGGUGUAGACAGCUUACUGGACCAUUACUGACACUGAGACACGAAAGCGUGGGUAGCAAACAGG